UACGAAGGGGGGCUAGCGUUGCUCGGAAUUACUGGGCGUAAAGGGCUCGUAGGCGGCCAACUAAGUCAGACGUGAAAUCCCUCAGCUUAACUGGGGAACUGCGUCUGAUACUGGAUGGCUUGGAUCCGGGAGAGGGAUGCGGAAUUCCAGGUGUAGCGGUGAAAUGCGUAGAUAUCUGGAGGAACACCGGUGGCGAAGGCGGCAUCCUGGACCGGUAUUGACGCUGAGGAGCGAAAGCCAGGGGAGCAAAGCGGG
rnacentral:rRNA from 1 species